AGAGUUUGAUCAUGGCUCAGGAUGAACGUUGGCGGUGUGCCUAAUACAUGCAAGUCGAACGGAGUUAAUAGCAAUAUUGACUUAGUGGCGAACGGGUGAGUAACGCGUUGGUGAUCUGCCUCGAAGUGUGGAAUAACGUUCCGAAAGGAACGCUAAUACCGCAUGUGCUCUCGAUUUUUAGAAACUUGAGAGUAAAGGAUUUAUUCGCUUCGAGAGGAGCCUGCGUCCCAUCAGCUGGUUGGUAGGGUAACGGCCUACCAAGGCUAUGACGGGUAGGGGACCUGAGAGGGUGGCCCCCCACAAUGGAACUGAAACACGGUCCAUACACCUACGGGUGGCAGCAGUAGGGAAUAUUAGAAAUGGACGAAAGUCUGAUCUAGCAACACCGCGUGUGCGAAGAAGGCCUUCGGGUCGUAAAGCACUUUUUGGAAGGAAUAGGAAGGAAUGUACUUCCAGAAUAAGUCUCGGCUAACUACGUGCCAGCAGCCGCGGUAACACGUAGGAGGCAAACGUUAUCCGGAUUUACUGGGCGUAAAGCGCGUGUAGGUGGUACUGUAAGUAGGGCGUGAAAGCUCCCGGCUCAACUGGGAGAGGCCGUUCUAAACUGCAGAACUAGAGGAUGGUAGAGGGAGGUGGAAUUCCAGGUGUAGCGGUGGAAUGCGCAGAUAUCUGGAGGAACACCAGUGGCGAAGCGGCCUCCUGGACCAUUCCUGACACUCAGACGCGAAAGCUAGGGUAGCAAACGGGAUUAGAGACCCCGGUAGUCCUAGCCCUAAACGAUGUAGACUAGGCGUCGGUGGUUUAAUCACCAUCGGUGUCCAAGCUAACGCGAUAAGUCUACCGCCUGGGGACUACGGCCGCAAGGUUAAAACUCAAAUGAAUUGACGG
rnacentral:rRNA from 1 species